GAUGAACGCUAGCGGCACGCUUAAUACAUGCAAGUCGUGGGGCAGCAGGGUUGUAGCAAUACAAUCGCUGGCGACCGGCAAACGGGUGCGUAACACGUACGCAACCUUCCCGUUACUGUGGCAUAGCCCAGGGAAACUUGGAUUAAUACCACAUAUUAUAUAGAGGGGGCAUCUCCUUUAUAUCAAAGCUUCGGCGGUAACGGAUGGGCGUGCGGUUGAUUAGGUAGUUGGCGGGGUAACGGCCCACCAAGCCUACGAUCAAUAGCUGAUGUGAGAGCAUGAUCAGCCACACGGGCACUGAGACACGGGCCCGACUCCUACGGGAGGCAGCAGUAAGGAAUAUUGGGCAAUGGACGAAAGUCUGACCCAGCCAUGCCGCGUGAAGGAUUAAGGUCCUCUGGAUUGUAAACUUCUUUUCUCUGGGGCGAAAAACAGCUAUUCUUAGUUGCUUGACAGUACCAGAGGAAUAAGCACCGGCUAACUCCGUGCCAGCAGCCGCGGUAACAC
rnacentral:rRNA from 1 species